AGAUCAAACGUUUUAAGGGCAUUUGGUGGAUACCUUGGCGCAUAGAGGCGAUGAAGGACGUGGCAUGCUGCGAAAAGCUUCGGGGAGUUGCAAGCAAACUUUGAUCCGAAGAUAUCCGAAUGGGGAAACCCACCCCUUUAGGGGUAUCGCUAUCUGAAUAUAUAGGAUAGCGAAGCGAACCUGGUGAACUGAAACAUCUAAGUAGCCAGAGGAAAGGACAUCAACCGAGACUCCGUUAGUAGUGGCGAGCGAACGCGGACCAGGCCAGUGGCCUUAUUCAAACAACCGGAAUCGUCUGGAAAGGCGUGCCAGAGUGGGUGAUAGCCCCGUACGGGUAAUGUUGGAUAAGGUCCUUGAGUAGGGCGGAACACGAGAAAUUCUGUCUGAACAUGGGGGGACCACCCUCCAAGCCUAAGUACUCCUAUGCGACCGAUAGUGAACAAGUACCGUGAGGGAAAGGUGAAAAGCACCCCGACAAGGGGAGUGAAACAGACCUUGAAACCGGAUGCCUACAAUCAGUCGGAGCCUCUUUAUGGGGUGACGGCGUACCUUUUGUAUAAUGGGUCAGCGAGUUAAUCUUUGCAGCAAGCUUAAGCGGUUACGUGUAGGCGCAGCGAAAGCGAGUCUGAAUAGGGCGAUUUAGUUGCAGGGAUUAGACCCGAAACCGGGUGAUCUAGCCAUGAGCAGGUUGAAGGUGCAGUAACAUGCACUGGAGGACCGAACCCACCAACGUUGAAAAGUUGGGGGAUGACUUGUGGCUAGGGGUGAAAGGCCAAUCAAACUCGGAAAUAGCUGGUUCUCCGCGAAAUCUAUUUAGGUAGAGCGUCUUGUAUCAUCUUCGGGGGUAGAGCACUGGAUGGGCUAGGGGGUCCCAACGACUUACCAAACCUAACCAAACUCCGAAUACCGAAGAAUGCAGCAAGGCAGACAGGCAGUGGGUGCUAAGAUCCAUUGCCGAGAGGGAAACAGCCCAGACCGCCAGCUAAGGUCCCUAAGUCAUGGCUAAGUGGGAAAGGAUGUGGGAAGGCCAAAACAACCAGGAGGUUGGCUUAGAAGCAGCCACCCUUUAAAGAAAGCGUAAUAGCUCACUGGUCUAAAUUUAAGCCGGCCUGCGCCGAAGAUGUACCGGGGCUAAAGCCAUGCACCGAAGCUGCGGAUUCAGUCUUUUAGACUGAGUGGUAGCGGAGCGUUCCGUAAGCCUGUGAAGGGUAACCGCGAGGUUGCCUGGAGGUAUCGGAAGUGAGAAUGCUGACAUGAGUAGCGAGAUGAGUGUGAGAAACACUCACGUCGAAAGUCCAAGGGUUCCUGCGUAAAGCUAAUCUGCGCAGGGUGAGCCGGCCCCUAAGGCGAGGGCGAAAGCCGUAGUCGAUGGGAAGGAGGUUAAUAUUCCUCCGCCUGCUGGAAGUGACGAAUGGGGUAAAUUGUGGGUCCUUAUUGGAUUGGACCUGCCGUGAACCUGUUCCAGGAAAUAGCUCCAGCUUAUAGACCGUACCCCAAACCGACACAGGUGGACUGGUAGAGUAUACCGAGACGUUUGAGAGAACUAUGUUGAAGGAACUCGGCAAAAUGACCCCGUAACUUCGGGAGAAGGGGUACCUCUCUUUGGGCAACCAGGGGGGGGUGGCACAGACUUGGGGGUGGCGACUGUUUAUUAAAAACAUAGGACUCUGCGAAGUCGCAAGACGACGUAUAGGGUCUGACGCCUGCCCGGUGCUGGAAGGUUAAGAGGAGCGGUGAGAGCUGCGAAUCGAAGCCCCAGUAAACGGCGGCCGUAACUAUAACGGUCCUAAGGUAGCGAAAUUCCUUGUCGGGUAAGUUCCGACCUGCACGAAUGGCGUAACGACUUCCCCGCUGUCUCCAACAUAGGCUCAGCGAAAUUGAACUCUCCGUGAAGAUGCGGAGUACCCGCGGUUAGACGGAAAGACCCCGUGCACCUUUACUAUAGCUUUGCAGUGGUAUCAGGAUUUGAAUGUGUAGAAUAGGUGGGAGCCUUUGAAGCAGUGACGCCAGUUAUUGUGGAGGCACCUUUGAAAUACCACCCUUUUGACUUUUGAUAUCUAACCGCGAACCGUUAUCCGGUUCCGGGACCCUGCAUGGUGGGUAGUUUGACUGGGGCGGUCGCCUCCUAAAUGGUAACGGAGGCGCGCGAUGGUUGGCUCAAGCUGGUCGGAAAUCAGCUGAUGAGUGCAAUGGCAUAAGCCAGCCUGACUGCGAGACUGACAAGUCGAGCAGAGACGAAAGUCGGUCAUAGUGAUCCGGUGGUCCCGUGUGGAAGGGCCAUCGCUCAACGGAUAAAAGGUACGCCGGGGAUAACAGGCUGAUAAUGCCCAAGAGUCCAUAUCGACGGCAUUGUUUGGCACCUCGAUGUCGGCUCAUCUCAUCCUGGGGCUGGAGCAGGUCCCAAGGGUUUGGCUGUUCGCCAAUUAAAGAGGUACGUGAGCUGGGUUUAGAACGUCGUGAGACAGUUCGGUCCCUAUCUGCCGUGGGUGUAGGAUAUUUGAGAGGAGCUGCCCCUAGUACGAGAGGACCGGGGUGGACGUACCUCUGGUGGACCUGUUGUCACGCCCGUGGCACUGCAGGGUAGCUAAGUACGGACGGGAUAACCGCUGAAAGCAUCUAAGCGGGAAGCCCCCCUCAAAACCAGAUAUCCCUUGAGAGCCGUGGAAGACCACCACGUUGAUAGGCUGGAGGUGGAAGUAUGGCAACAUAUGGAGCUGACCAGUACUAAUCACUCGAUCGGUUUGAUCUUA
rnacentral:rRNA from 1 species